CCGGUCGCCCCCGGAGCCGGUGCUUCCGGACUAUCUCGGGCGUCCCCGGCGCGCCCCGACGUGCCGCGGACCUAUAAUUAAGUGGGAGUCAUGACUAAUAUCUACUGGGCACCUCGGUCCCUGAGUGACCCCUGGGAGUGGAGAGCUGCCCCACCUCCCAUUUGACAGAUACCAGGAAGUCAGGCAUUUGCCCACAGCCGCAGAACGCUGUCUGAGGCAGUCGCUCCUGGGCCGGGGCAGCUCUGGACGGGCUCUUCCUGUGCUCCAGAGGGGACCCUCGGGCCGGCUUGUCCUGCACUUCUCAGACAGGCAUGCCGGAUGAUGUGGCCACCUGACAGUGAAGGCAUCAGGACUGGAGCCCACGUCCACCUGAUCCCCAGUCCCAAGAAAAUUUUAAAUUCCGUAUGUGGCUUUAAUGACGUUUCUACUGGACAAGGCUGGUCUAGACACCCGGAGCUCAUAUCUACUUGGUGGAGCUAAGCAGCACCUCGGAGCCUCAGCUGCCUCCUCUGGGUAGCAGCCAACUCACAGGGCCACUUGAGGAAAUAUUCACUCGUUCACGCAACAGAUAUUCUGUGCCAGGCACUGGGCGCGGCACAGGGAUGCAGCGCUAACACGAUGCCCUCAUGGAACACACAGUCUCUUCAGGGAGCAAUAAACAAGUGACAAAACAAGUGUAUCAGGAAAUCUUUAAAUCACAUCAUCUGCCGGGGUCUUUGCUCAUGUUCUCUCGUCAGAAGACCAGGGAAGAUGCACAAAAGCAACACAUGGGGACAAAUUCAUGGAGACACUCUACUGCCGGCCAACAAUGAAAACGCAGCCCAGGGUCCGCUGUUUCCCAUGGCGGGGGGACACCGAGCGGGAGGGGAGGGGCCGUGGGAGCUGCUUUCCCAGCGGCUGCUGGCCGCGGUCAGAGCUGGCGGCCACUUGGAUCAGGAGCCGUGAAAGUGGCCAUGGUCCCUGACCCCAUAAUCCCACGUCUGGGCACCUAGCCUAAGAAAAUGACCCACAUACAGAACGGCCACAGACUAAAGGGUUCAGGGCAGUGCAACUUGAAAAAGCAAAAGUUGGAAACAACCUAAAACCCCAGGUGUGAACAGACUGUGUUUUCUUAACCCUUCCCCUCUGAUUAGAAAUGGCAUCCUUCCUUCAGGUGGCGGCUGUGAGGAUGGUUUCCUGCCACGUGGAAGCUCCGGUGAUGUGUCCUGUACUCUCACCCCUGUUUUCUCCUGCCGGGUUUUGAGCGCCCUGAUUUUCUUUCUUUCUUUCUUCUUUUUAACAUCUUUAUUGGAGUAUAACUGCUUUACAAUGGUGUGUUUCUGCUGUAUAACAAAGUGAAUCAGCCAUAUGUAUACAUAUAUCCCCUCCCUCUUGCGUCUCCCUCCCUCCCACCCUCCCUAUCCCACCCCUCUAGGUGGUCACAAAGCACCGAGCUGAUCUCCCUGUGCUCUGCGGCUGCUUCCCGCUAGCUAUCUAUUUUACAUUUGGUAGUGUAUGGAUGUCCAUGCCACUCUCUCAUUUCAUCCCAGCUUACCCUUCCCCCUCCCCGUGUCCUCAAGUCCAUUCUCUACGUCUGCAUCUUUAUUCCCGUCUUACCCCUAGGUCCUUCAGAACUUUUUUUGUUUUUUUAGAUUCCAUAUAUAUGUGUUAGCAUACCGUAUUUGUUUUUCUCUUUCUGACUUACUUCACUCUGUACAACAGUCUCUAGGUCCAUCCACCUCACUAAAAAUAACUCAAUUUC